UUUUUUUUUUUUUGAAGAGGCUUGGCAUCUUCCCCACUUGCACUGCACCACAGACAGGUAUCAACACGCAAGUCACUUCUGGAUGCCUGCGUAUUCAAUGAGCUGUGUCCCACCGGGCAGUCUUAACCCCUGGGAACAGGAGAAUCAAGGCCCUUCAGAGUCCAUAAACACGCAACCCUGGCCCGGUCGACCCAAGCCCCCAAAACAGGGGGUGCUCGCCCUGGGGCCUAACCCCACCAGCAACCCCAGACUACCAAGACAUGCGCGCGCACCUCCUCGCCCCCCGACAGGGCCCCACGGAGGGCCGGCUCUGAGGGGCUCCGUCGGGGGCGGGAGCGGGGGGCGGGGACGCCCGGGGCGGAGCCGCGGAGAAUUCAAGGCGACUCCCGGCCCGGAGCGCGCGGCCCGAGGGGAGGCCCCGGCGCCGGGGGAGGGGCUUCAGGCAGACCCCGCCGCUGCGGCCG
rnacentral:lncRNA from 1 species